rnacentral:rRNA from 1 species
UACGGAGGGGGCUAGCGUUGUUCGGAAUCAUUGGGCGUAAAGGGCGCGUAGGCGGCCGAUCAAGUCGGAGGUGAAAUCCCUCGGCUCAACUGAGGAACUGCCUUCGAUACUGUUCGGCUUGAGUCCUGGAGAGGGUGGCGGAAUUCCCGGUGUAGCGGUGAAAUGCGUAGAGACCGGGAAGAACACCAGUGGCGAAGGCGGCUACCUGGACAGGUACUGACGCUGAAGCGCGAAAGCUAGGGGAGCAAACGGG